UACGAAGGGUGCAAACGUUGCUCGGAAUUAUUGGGCGUAAAGCGCACGUAGGCGGCUUAGCAAGUCCCAUGUGAAAUCCCACGGCUUAACCGUGGAAGUGCAUGGGAAACUGCUGAGCUUGAGUACUUAAGAGGAUCGCGGAAUUCCCGGUGUAGAGGUGAAAUUCGUAGAUAUCGGGAAGAACAUCGGUGGCGAAGGCGCUCUGCUGGACCAUAACUGACACUCAGGGACGAAAGCUAGGGGAGCGAAUGGG
rnacentral:rRNA from 1 species